GCGGCGUGCUUAACACAUGCAAGUCGAACGCAGCCUUCGGGCUGAGUGGCGGACGGGUGAGUAUCGCGUGAGAAUCUACCUUCAGGAUGGGGACAACCGUUGGAAACGACGGCUAAUCCCCAAUAGGCCGCAAGGUGAGACGGGAUUCCGCCUGGAGAGGAGCUCGCGUCCGAUUAGUUAGUUGGUGAGGUAAGAGCUUACCAAGGCAGCGAUCGGUAGCUGGUCUGAGAGGAUGAGCAGCCACACUGGGACUGAGACACGGCCCAGACUCCUACGGGAGGCAGCAGUGGGGAAUUUUCCGCAAUGGGCGCAAGCCUGACGGAGCAACGCCGCGUGUGGGAAGAAGGCUCUUGGGCUGUCAACCACUUUUCUCAGGGAAGAAGCCCUGACGGUACCUGAGGAAUCAGCCUCGGCUAACUCCGUGCCAGCAGCCGCGGUAAUACGGAGGAGGCAAGCGUUAUCCGGAAUCAUUGGGCGUAAAGCGUCCGCAGGGGGCACAUCAAGUCUGCUG
rnacentral:rRNA from 1 species